GGGAGCACGUGUGCAGCUCUUUUUCAGUCCAUUUUCAGAGUAGUCGGGAAAUCCCACAGGAAAAACAACACUUUCUCGCGUGAGCAAAGCAAACCCCAGGUACGCCUCGACCGUGCCAGCUGACGGUGGUGACUCGUGGGGAGGGACCCCAGCAGUGCCCGGAGAGGGUCAGGCUCGUAAAGCGGAGCGGGGUCCUGGGAACUUUGGAGUCAUUUCUCCUGCGGUGUCUCGCUGCCCUCUCGUGGCCGAAUGAUGCAUGUGCACAGCACCGCGCUCCAGUUAUUUGCACACAGACCCAGAGGAGCUCCUUGGCCUGAAGAGCUGCCCGACGGAGCGCAUGGAGCCUGGCACCAGCUGGGCUGGAAUGGCUCCCCGAGAGUCCAGCUGCACUCUGGACAAGAGAAAGGGAGAGCUGGGGCAGGCCGGAGCACGUUCUGAGGGUGGUGGAAUUGCCUCUCUGUCCGUGUGCUGAGCUGCGGCUGCAGGGACUGUCAGGCCUUGUUGGCUCUGUUGCCUGGUGUCAUUUCCCUGCCUGAGCUGGCUGUGGGUCGGUGUGGGACGGCGAGGCCGGAGAGAGCGAGCGGAGGAGCCUCGGGCUGGAGAGGGGCAGGAGAAAGGCCCUGUGGGCAAAGGGACCUCCCCGUGUGCCCAGGGCCCUGCGGGGGACAGGAUGGACACUCUGGGGUCACCCUGAGGGGAUUUGGGGUUUGUUUAGGUUUUGAAUCCCUCCCAGUGGCCCGGGCCAGAGGGGCUGUGGUUGCCAGCUGCUCCCCGUGUCCGUGCUGAACCAGCAUCCCAGGGGCACAACAGGCGCCGGCGACACUUCCAAAGGAAGAUUUGUCUCUCUGUGGGAAGCCGGGAUUUCCAGGAGCCAGAGACGUUCCUGUCCAGCGUGGUUCACCUCCCGCCCUCCCCGAGCACGGCGCGGGCCACUGCAAGGAAGGAUUCCUUGUUGCCCGUCCCCAGCCGGUCCCAGCCCAGCUGGCCGUGCUCCCUGGGCCUGUUCGUGCAGAGGAGGGAGAGCUGCGCAGAUUUAUUAAGAGUGCAUUUCCUGGCAGUA